AGAGUUUGAUCCUGGCUCAGAACGAACGCUGGCGGCAGGCUUAACACAUGCAAGUCGAACGCAUCCUUCGGGGUGAGUGGCAGACGGGUGAGUAACGCGUGGGAACGUGCCCUUCAGUUCGGGAUAACCCAGGGAAACUUGGGCUAAUACCGGAUACGUGCGAGAGCAGAAAGAUUUAUCGCUGAAGGAUCGGCCCGCGUCUGAUUAGCUAGUUGGUGGGGUAAUGGCCCACCAAGGCGACGAUCAGUAGCUGGUCUGAGAGGAUGAUCAGCCACAUUGGGACUGAGACACGGCCCAAACUCCUACGGGAGGCAGCAGUGGGGAAUAUUGGACAAUGGGCGCAAGCCUGAUCCAGCCAUGCCGCGUGAGUGAUGAAGGCCUUAGGGUUGUAAAGCUCUUUCGUCCGGGACGAUAAUGACGGUACCGGAAGAAGAAGCCCCGGCUAACUUCGUGCCAGCAGCCGCGGUAAUACGAAGGGGGCUAGCGUUGUUCGGAAUCACUGGGCGUAAAGGGCGCGUAGGCGGCUUUGUAAGUCGGGGGUGAAAGCCUGUGGCUCAACCACAGAAUUGCCUUCGAUACUGCAUGGCUUGAGACCGGAAGAGGUAAGUGGAACUGCGAGUGUAGAGGUGAAAUUCGUAGAUAUUCGCAAGAACACCAGUGGCGAAGGCGGCUUACUGGUCCGGUUCUGACGCUGAGGCGCGAAAGCGUGGGGAGCAAACAGGAUUAGAUACCCUAGUAGUCC
rnacentral:rRNA from 1 species